GCUAACGCAGGGGAAUGAAAACAUCUUAGUACUGUUGGAAAAGAAAAUAAUAAUGAUUCCCCUAGUAGUGGCGAGCGAACGGGGAUUAGCCCAAACCAAUGUUGUUACGGCAAUAUCGGGGUUGUAGGACCACGAUGUCGCAAGAAAUUUAGUGAGAAGAACCCUUUGGAAAAUGGGACCAUAGACGGUGAUAGUCCGGUAUUCGAAGCUAAAUGAAGCGUAGUGGUAUCCUGAGUAGCGCGGGACACGAGGAAUCUUGCGUGAAUCUGCCGGGACCAUCCGGUAAGGCUAAAUACUCCCGAGAGACCGAUAGCGAACCAGUACUGUGAAGGAAAGGUGAAAAGCACUUCGAAUAGAAGAGUGAAAUAGUCCCUGAAACCGUGCGCCUACAAGCGGUCGGAGCUGUGUAAACAGUGACGGCGUGCCUUUUGCAUAAUGAACCUACGAGUUACUUUUUCCGGCAAGGUUAAGGAUCUUGAGAUCCGCAGCCGAAGCGAAAGCGAGUCUUAACAGGGCGAUUAGUCGGAAGGAGUAGACGCGAAACCAAGUGAUCUACCCUUGGUCAGGUUGAAGGUUAGGUAACUAAUCAAACUUGGAGAUAGCUCGUACUCCCCGAAAUGCAUUUAGGUGCAGCCUUGGGAAUUACUACUGUGAGGUAGAGCGACUGAUAAGAUGCGAGGGCUUCACCGCCUAUCAAGUCUUGAUAAACUCCGAAUGCGCAGUAGUUCGAUCCCAGGAGUGAGGGCAUGGGUGCUAAGGUCCAUGUCCUAAAGGAGAAGAAUCCAGACCAUCAGCUAAGGUCCCGAAAUAAUUGCUAAGUUGAACUAACGAAGUCAGAUUGCUAAGACAGCUAGGAUGUUGGCUUGGAAGCAGCCAUUCAUUUAAAGAGUGCGUAACAGCUCACUAGUCGAGGAGUUUGGCGUGGAUAAUAAUCGGGCAUUAAGUGUUUUACCGAAGCUAUGGGAUCCUAAUGGAUCGGUAGGGGAGCAUUCUACUCUGCGUUGAAGGCUAAGCGUGAGCUUUACUGGAGCGUGUGGAAAAGCAAAUGUAGGUAUAAGUAACGAUAAAGGGGGUGAGAAACCCCCUCGCCGCAAGACUAAGGUUUCCUGAUCAACGCUAAUCGGAUCAGGGUUAGUCGGGUCCUAAGGCUCAGCCGAACGGUGAGGCCGAUGGCAGAACAGGUUAAUAUUCCUGUACUACCUGUAGGAGUGAUGUGGAGACGGAGGAGUGACAACGCCGCGGACUGACGGAAUAGUCCGUUAAAGGGUGUAGAUGUUGAUUAUCCCAGGCAAAUCCGGGAUAAGAGUCGAACCUGACAGUAUACCAAUUUCCCCGGAAAACGGUAAUAGUGCGUGUAAACAUACUCCCAAGAAAAUCCGCUAAACUUAAUCUUACAGGUACCCGUACCGUAAACGGACACACGUAGUCGGGUUGAAUAUACUCAGGCGCUUGAGUGAAUCACGGUUAAGGAACUAGGCAAAUUGACCCUGUAACUUCGGGAUAAAGGGUCCCUACCCGGUGACGGGAGGGCGCAGAGAAUAGGUCCAGGCAACUGUUUAACAAAAACACAGGGCUGUGCAAAAUUGAAAGAUCACGUAUACAGCCUGACACCUGCCCGGUGCUGGAAGGUUAAGAGGAGAUGUCAUCGCAAGAGAAGCAUUGAAUUGAAGCCCCAGUAAACGGCGGCCGUAACUAUAACGGUCCUAAGGUAGCGAAAUUCCUUGUCGGGUAAGUUCCGACCUGCACGAAUGGUGUAAUGAUCUGGACACUGUCUCAACCGUGAGCUCAGUGAAAUUGUAGUAUCGGUGAAGAUGCCGAUUACCCGCGAUGGGACGAAAAGACCCCGUGAACCUUUACUAUAGCUUAACAUUGAAUUUGGGUAAUUGAUGUGUAGGAUAGGCCGUAGACUUUGAAGCGGGUACGCCAGUAUUCGUGGAGUCGCUGUUGAAAUACGGCCCUUUGGUUAUUUGAGUUCUAACUCGCUGGUGCGAGGACACUGUUUGGUGGGUAGUUUGACUGGGGUGGUCGCCUCCAAAAGCGUAACGGAGGCUUCUAAAGGUGCCCUCACGCCGAUUGGUAACCGGCGGUAGAGUGUAAUGG
rnacentral:rRNA from 1 species